CAAUACUCGCCGGAAGCGGAAGCCGCGCCGAGGCUCGUGUAAAAGUCUUGCAGUGAAAAACCCGAGGACCCUUACCGCAAGUGUCUUUUGCUCCCAGCUACUGAUACUGGAUUCCACUCGUGAUUCUCCCUUUCUUAGCGCAUUCAUGAUAUAGACAUCAGUCUCUGAGCUGGAGGAGGACAAAGGCAGCGGUCCUGUGAAUUCUAUGCUCUAGCUUGGGUUAAGGGAUUUGGAAUUGCACUUGUUUCAGAGAGCUCCCUCUUUGCCCACUAGCAGGGCAUUAGCUGGUGCUGAAGACAGUGGCUGCUUGGCGAGCCUGGAUCUCCAAGUGACCCCCUCAGCAACUCCUGAUGAACAGGACUGAAGCCAAUAUUAAAGCAAGUCAACCAAAGGUUCUCUGGUGUAGACAAGACAGCAAAAGGACAGACUACCUUGUGGAACCUAGCAUUGUUCUCCUUCUGCAGCACUAAGUAACAUUUGUUCUCCGUUAAGAUCUUUGCAAACCACACACAAGAAUUGCUGGUCAUCCUGCCAAUAGAUGCUGCUCACAGAACCAAAUUUCCUGUGCUGAAUUGUCACUCAUGGGCUUGAGAGUAGGAGACUGGAGACCAAGGUGGCUAGAAUCCAGUUGGGCCUGAUGUCUCCCUGUUGAAAGGGCUCCUUGUGGAAUGAAUAGCACAUGGCUCCUGUGGUGGAUCUGAUAGUGGCAUAGCACCAAGUGAUGCAGGCCUGCCAGGGGCCACAGACACAGAAGAUGCUCCCGGGGUCCCCCAUGUACUCCAGACACACUGCAGGCCACCUCUCCCAGCAGGUUGCCAGUCAUGGGCCCCAUCAUCAUGACUUCUGUCCAAGGUGUGCUCGGAAAUCUCUUCCUUAACUGUGACUUUCUGACAGGUGGAGGAUGUGGUCAGGAGUGGGAAAAGGAUUCGAGACGGGAAGAGGGAGGGGUUCAGGAUGAAGAGAGAUAAUCUGUGCCACAGAUGCUGGCCCUGCAGUUAGCUCCCACCUAGUCCGUGCACACACAUUCUAAUCCCCUCCCAUUCCUUUACAUGCUGCGGCCAGAGAGGCCUUUCUCAAAGUGGAAGUCUCAUCCUCACUUCUCUGGUUACAGUGCUGGGCCAUGGUAACUUACAAGGCUUAGCAGGAACUGUCUGCGCACUCCCCCUUCCUGCCCACUACCUUGUUUCCCUCCAGUUGCGAGAGAAAACAUUGAUUGAGCAUUAACUAUGUGCCAGGCUUGUCCUAAGUCCUUUGCAUGUAUUCACUCAAACAAUCCUCACAACAUUCCUAUCACAUCUCCCAUUUCACAGUGAGGGUUCUAAAGCACGUAGUGGGUGAGGAACUUGUCCAGGGUCACACAACUAAGUGGGGGUGGAGAAACAUCAAAUCUAGGUGGUCCAGGUGGUGGCCAGAACCCAUCAGCACCUCACUACAGCUGCCUCCAGUUUCUCGCUCUAGGAAAUACUCUUCCCUGUCAACUCCUGUUGUCCUCUGGGCUCAGUUGACAUGUCAUCUCCUUGAGGAGGACAUCCUGAGAUGCUCCCCGACUAGGGUGGGCACCCACUUCCACACUCCAAAUGCCUAUUUGACCUGUGUAUCGCUGCAUCCCCACUGCCUGGCAGAUAGCAGGCCCCUAAUAAAUAUGAUUUGAGCAAAUAAAUAUAGUUCUUCAAAAAAUAGGGAGGACUUCUUGCUUCAGGUAAUGGUAGGCUAGGACAUUUGGACCAACCCUCCUGCAGAAAAUAGCCAUUUAUUUUGAUGCAAUAUAUCUGGCUAUGACUAGAGAUUUCAAAUAUUUGGAGGGCUAUUAUGUGAAGAACUAAACUUACUCUUUGUGACAUAGAGGUCAGAAAUUGGUCGUUUCCAUAGAGUAUGAGAGAGACAGAAUUGUGCUCAUCAUAAGUAUCUUUUUUAAAAGUUAGACUUAAUAAAAUGGGCUGCCUUGGUAGGUGGUGAGUUCUCUGUCACGAAAGAGAUUCAGCCACUUGCUCUGAGAAAGCAUGGAGAAUAUCAACAUUGUAAGGGUCGACCACCUCAUCUCUGAGGCCCCCUCCUCACUUAGGUUGCCAUUGCAGGUGGAACACUGGGCUGAGUGUCAAAGAACCUGGGUUCCACAAACUGUGCGACCAUGGCUGGUUGUUUUGGAUCUCAUUCCUAAUAUCUGUUAGUUAAGCUGACCCGUCAAUACUGACCCACUUCACAGAGUUAUGAAGGGAUUAAAUUAGGUAUUACAUGUAAAUCUGUUUUGUUUGCUUUUUGUUGUUCUUUUUUGUUUUGCUUUUUUCUUUGCAUUAUGAAAUCCCAAGUCAACUUUUUCCAUUCUUUUAUUUUUUUAAAAAUUGACAUCAUCAUUAUAACCACAAAAUAAUUUUUAAAAUGGAAAAAAAAAACUCACCUGCAACCCCACAAUCUAAUACAAUAAUCAUACUUUUUUCCCUUUAUUCUCCUUUAUUGUGACCAAGGAUGACUUUGGGCAUUGCUGUGAGGAACUAUUUCGUUUAACACCCUACUACCUGAACAUGAUGCGUACUCAGCCUUUCACCACCCCCCAAGUAGCUACACAUGAUGUGAUAAUAGUAUUGGUGGUGGUUUUAGAGAGUUGGAGAGAAAACUGAAGUUGGAUUUGGGUAAAAGAAAAAAGAGUGGGAAUUAUUUUUUCUCCAUUCUAAAGCCCAUAAAGCAAUGUUAAUUGUUCCCACCCCUCUGCUAUUCUGUCUCCUCAGGUACUGUGUGCAGAAAUGUGAUUGAGAUUCAAGUCAGGGCCUCUCUGCCCUUUUCCCUCCAGAAACAAAACCAAGAUAAUUUAUCCUGAACACGGUGAAAAAAGGAAGGGAGGGAGGAGAAAAAGUCCGGGUCUCACCUGGGAUUCUCUGUCUCCUGCAACAUGAAGGAUUUAGCCUGGGAGGAGGUGGUGAGAACUCUGGGAGAGAAAAAAGAAGGAAAGAAUAGUUUUACCCAUGCUGAAGUUAAUUUAAACCUUCACCUAGAGAAGCAAAAAAAAAAAACCCACACUUUCCCAUUUUGUGCCUCCCUUCCUAGAGUUUUAGCCAAAGGUUUAGCUAAGUAAUUGGUUUUACCAGCGCACUCACUCCUCCUAUCCCAAGUCUGUUUGACUCCCUCCCCAUCAUCCUCCUCACCUCUUUUCAGGCAGGGUGGGGAUAGCAGCAGGAGGAGAUUUUGGGAGCCUGGCAACUCCUGCAAGGACCGCAGGACAGCCCCUCUGUGGGGAUGCGUGGUGCCCCAUCUGCCGCCCUUCUGAAGAAUGCACUGCCUUCACUUUUUACUGUGUUAGAGUCCAUCCAGACUGUUCUAUCCAAAAAAGUUUCUUUUUCCCCCACAGGCAAUCAGGAAAUGAUUCCUUUCCCGACUGCUUCUGUCUAGUGCCUGGGAAUCUUGAGUCAAUCCCUCAGUAAGUCAGUGACUAGGGAAAUCCCUCUCUGAGCCUCCCAGUUCAUGUUGCUUAGGGAACCUGAUAUUUUCGUGAAACCUGCCUACACAUGGGCAGCCCAACAGCAGAACAAAUGGUGGUGACCAAAGUGAACAAAGAAGUAUAGUUGUGCCAGCUUCGUAGUUGCCCAUGUGGACAAGUCAGCAGGAUCAGGACACGAGGAAGAGUAAAUGUGAGACAGUCAAUGUGACUUCUGCGAUAAACAGAUUUUUAAACCCCGAAAUUUUGCAAAAUUUUGGUGAAACCUGAACUUUCUUCGUUGCAUAUACUGGCACUAUCUGUACCAUCAUACAACUGUCUCACAUUAAAGCUAUUUUUCUUGGGCACUGAUGAGUAAGGUUGGUAUAAGUUCCUCAGAUCAACAAAAACCCAUUUUCCUGUAAGUCUUACAUUUAGUAUUUAAGGAACUAAAACUUAAAUACAUUUUGUGAAAUGGUUGACACUUCACUGAUAAUGAUUUAUUGCUUGGAUUAAUAAAUUUUCCAAAAGUUGUCUUAUGUAGAAUAUGGUUUGCAACCAGCAGAACCAUUAAUCUAUACUGCAAUGAUAUGCACUAUGUAUAAUUGUUUAAAAGCCUCUACUUAAUGAUGUAAAAUGCUCUAUUUAAUUACACAUUUGGGUAAACUGUAUACUAACAUCUGAUGGCAUUUUUCCACUGUUUGUUGCUUUUUUCAAAUACUUUAUUGUACAAAGCUGUUCUUAAUAUUUUUCAAGUUUUUUUCUUUGAAUUUUGCUAAUGUUUUCCUUGAAUUAUGAGCACUGACAGAAUGUGCUUAGCACUUUUGGCUAUUCACACAGCUUUUGAGCAUGAUUUGCAUCCAAUAUUUACAUUGCUAGCAAUAAUAAGCCAUCUGUGAGUUUUGUCAAAA
rnacentral:sRNA from 1 species